GGGUAUAGCUCAGUUGGUAGAGCAUCGGUCUCCAAAACCGAGGGUCGUGAGUUCGAAUCUUACUGCCC
rnacentral:tRNA from 5 species